ACGUCAGAGUCCUCUGCUGUGCGUCCUGGCCCAGAGGACUGGGCCACCAAAGCCCUGGGUUCCUUGUCUUGUCACAGAUUAAGUGCGGGGCUACCACUUCCUCUUUAGAAUCCUCCUUGGUCUCCAGUGGAGGCAUCAGUCAGGGUCACCUCCAAGGAGAGUCAGCUGCUUCAGUGGGUCAGAGGUGGGGCAUCAGGAAGGACCCGCCCAUCACAUACUCUUCGCAUUACUCCUUAGUGAAGACCUUGACCCCAGGAGGCUCCCUAACAAUGUGACUGUAACCUGGGAGGGUGGCUAGAGAGUGGAGCCUCUGAGAGGUUAGGCAAAGAGCUUAGAGGGAAGAUCUCAAGCAGGGUGAGAGGCUUAACAGGACCCUGGGUGGAGCUCCCCAGGGGACAGUGGGGGCCUAAAGGCUCUGAGACCUUGAGUGACGGUGUAGGGAAGGAAGAAAGGGUAGAGCUGAGAGGGAGGCGAGAACCCCUGAAUCAAGGGCAUUACCAAUUUGGGGAUGAUUCUUUUUAUUUUUUUAUUGAUUGAUGAUUGAUUGAUUAUUUUUUUUUGUAGAGAAGGAGUUUUGCCCUGUUGCCCAGGCUCAUCCCAAACUUCUGAACUCAAGCAAUCCGCCCGUCU
rnacentral:lncRNA from 1 species